rnacentral:tRNA from 1 species
GGCCCUUUAGCUCAGUGGUCAGAGCAUGCGGAUCAUAACCCGCUGGUUCAGGUCAGGCAGGGGCCACUA